AAUGAACGUUGGCGGCGUGCUUAACACAUGCAAGUCGAGCGAGAAAGUUCCUUCGGGAAUGAGUACAGCGGCGGACGGUUGAGUAACACGUGAGAAUCUACCCUUUAGUGAAGAAUACCCUCGGGAAACCGAGGCUAAUGCUGCAUAAGUCCCUUCGGGGAGAAAGAUGGCCUCUUUGCUGUCGCUAAAGGAUGAGCUUGCGGCCUAUCAGCUAGUUGGUGAGGUAAUGGCUCACCAAGGCGAUGACGGGUAGCCGGCCUGAGAGGGUGGUCGGCCAGACUGGAACUUAGAUACGGUCCAGACUCCUACGGGUGGCAG
rnacentral:rRNA from 1 species